rnacentral:rRNA from 1 species
GGGGUGUUAGGGCACGACACCGGAGAGGGAGCCUGAGAAACGGCUACCACAUCCAAGGAAGGCAGCAGGCGCGCAAAUUACCCAAUCCCGACACGGGGAGGUAGUGACAAUAAAUAACAAUACAGGGUUCUUUUGGAUCUUGUAAUUGGAAUGAGUACAAUUUAAAUCUCUUAACGAGGAACAAUUGGAGGGCAAGUCUGGUGCCAGCAGCCGCGGUAAUUCCAGCUCCAAUAGCGUAUAUUAAAGUUGUUGCAGUUAAAAAGCUCGUAGUUGAAUUUCGGGAUCAAUGUUUCGGUCAUGCCGUUGGUAUGUACUGAUAUUAUUGGUUUCUCACCUUCUAAAGAACCGUAAUGCCAUUAAUUUGGUGUCACGGGGAAUUAGGACUGUUACCUUGAAAAAAUUAGAGUGUUUAAAGCAGGCUUACGCUUGAAUACAUUAGCAUGGAAUAAUGAAAUAGGACAUCCGAUUCUAUUUUGUUGGUUUCUAGGAUCGAUGUAAUGAUUAAUAGGGAUAGUUGGGGGCAUUAGUAUUCAAUUGUCAGAGGUGAAAUUCUUGGAUUUAUUGAAGACUAACUACUGCGAAAGCAUUUGCCAAGGAUGUUUUCAUUAAUCAAGAACGAAAGUUAGGGGAUCGAAGACGAUCAGAUACCGUCGUAGUCUUAACCAUAAACUAUGCCGACUAGGGAUCGGAUGAUGUUAAUUUUUUAAUGACUCAUUCGGCGCCUUACGGGAAACCAAAGUG